GAUGAACGCUGGCGGCGUGCCUAAUACAUGCAAGUCGAGCGAACGGACGAGAAGCUUGCUUCUCUGAUGUUAGCGGCGGACGGGUGAGUAACACGUGUAUAACCUACCUAUAAGACUGGGAUAACUUCGGGAAACCGGAGCUAAUACCGGAUAAUAUUUUGAACCGCAUGGUUCAAAAGUGAAAGACGGUCUUGCUGUCACUUAUAGAUGGAUCCGCGCUGCAUUAGCUAGUUGGUAAGGUAACGGCUUACCAAGGCAACGAUGCAUAGCCGACCUGAGAGGGUGAUCGGCCACACUGGAACUGAGACACGGUCCAGACUCCUACGGGAGGCAGCAGUAGGGAAUCUUACGCAAUGGGCGAAAGCCUGACGGAGCAACGCCGCGUGAGUGAUGAAGGUCUUCGGAUCGUAAAACUCUGUUAUUAGGGAAGAACAUAUGUGUAAGUAACUGUGCACAUCUUGACGGUACCUAAUCAGAAAGCCACGGCUAACUACGUG
rnacentral:rRNA from 1 species